CCAAGCCGGGAGACCUCGUCGACUAACUUGGCCUCCCGGUCGGCCGACUGCAGGAGUUGUUCGGCCAACAUCGCCCUCUCUGCUUCGGCCGCCGCCGACCUCUCCUUGAAGGCUGCCCGAACGUUGCCGAACCUUCGGUACCCGGCCUCAAGUUCGAACAUUGUGAAAAUCAGCUGCCGAUCAAAAAGCUUCGUCAGAAUUGCAUGAUAAGCAAAAAUUCCCAAGGAAAAUCUCUAAGGAAGAGAGGACCCGAAGCUUACCUCGACCAUCGUCGGGUAGAACCGAGACAACAUCUCGGACACCUGCCGAGUGCGCAGCAACCCCACAUCGGUUGGGAGGAGGAUUCCUUGGCACAACCUCCUCGCAAGAUCGUGGUCGGCCAACGCCGACGCACCCUCGGGGUAGUAGUUGCUUGGAGGCAUCGACCGGCCCCCCGACCUAUCCUCCUCCGCGGGCUCCAUCGGGGCUUUCCCCCGAUCAGCUGCCCC
rnacentral:lncRNA from 1 species